GGCUCAGGACGAACGCUGGCGGCGUGCUUAACACAUGCAAGUCGAACGAGGUCCAAGGUGUAGCAAUACACCGGAAGAUCUAGUGGCGAACGGGUGCGUAACACGUGAGGAACUUGUCCCGGUCUCUGGGAUAACAGUUGGAAACGACUGCUAAUACCGGAUGACGUCGGAGCGUCGCAUGGCGCGCUGACGAAAGGGUUACUGGAUCGGGAGAGCCUCGCGGCCUAUCAGCUUGUUGGUGGGGUAACGGCCUACCAAGGCAUCGACGGGUAGCUGGUCUGAGAGGAUGAUCAGCCACACUGGGACUGAGACACGGCCCAGACUCCUACGGGAGGCAGCAGUGGGGAAUCUUGCGCAAUGGGCGAAAGCCUGACGCAGCAACGCCGCGUGCGGGAAGAAGGCUCUCGGGUUGUAAACCGCUUUCAGCAGGAACGAAAAUGACGGUACUUGCAGAAGAAGGUGCGGCCAACUACGUGCCAGCAGCCGCGGUGACACGUAGGCACCAAGCGUUGUCCGGAUUUAUUGGGCGUAAGGCGCUCGUAGGCGGUUCGGUAAGUCAGGUGUGAAAACUUUGGGCUUAACCCAAAGCCUGCAUCUGAUACUGCCGUGACUAGAGUUCGGUAGGGGAGUGGGGAAUUCCUAGUGUAGCGGUGAAAUGCGCAGAUAUUAGGAGGAACACCGGUGGCGAAGGCGCCACUCUGGGCCGAUACUGACGCUGAGGAGCGAAAGCGUGGGUAGCAAACAGGAUUAGAUACCCUGGUAGUCCACGCCGUAAACGUUGGGCACUAGGUGUGGGUUUCAACCAACGAAAUCCGCGCCGUCGCUAACGCAUUAAGUGCCCCGCCUGGG
rnacentral:rRNA from 1 species